CUUUAUGUGAGAAGAUUGCUUGGCAAGUUGUCCCUAGGUAAAUUUAAAUUAAGAUACCCGUUAUAGAUACAAGUUGCAUUUUCAACAAUAUGAUUUUGUGGGCAUAUGACAUAGGUAGAGUUGUAUUUCUGGACCUUAGAGUGGCCUGGUUCAACGUAAAGUAGGAACUUGUAAGUAACAGGGAUAACUAGACAUAUAGUUCAGGCCAGAGAGGAACACAAAAAACAGAAAAUAAUACCGGACAAAAAAUACAGGCUGGUAUAGGAUCAAACAGGACAAAAUCAGGAUUACAAACAGGUAGAUGAACAAACCAGUCUAGUACACAAAUACAGAAGGUCAAGACUUGUCAAAUAAUAAGCUAGGUCAAAAACAGGAACUCAAUCACGAUAAACAUACUAAUGGCUCAGGAACCACAAAAGCAACCAGAGCAGCCAGAGAGCUUUCUUUAAAUAGGGAUGUUCUGAAAGUGAUCGGCUUUGCUUCCUGGGAGUAACCAGUUUGAAGAUUUUAUGUUCUGUGUUGCCCGCAGAACACAAAACAAACAGUAAUUGGAUGGGAAGUAACCAGUACACUUUCUGAAAUCUUCCCAGGGGGAGCAGUUUCUACUGUGGCACAGCAUGCAAUGUGCAACGCCAAAAACUGGGAAACAAGCGGCUCAAAU